GCUUCUGCAGGACCCCUGGGCACAGCUGGCACAGGAGGGGAAACCUGGGGUGGGCAGCUCUGAUCCUUCUGGAACACCUACCCGUGGGGGUCUGGCCUUUACCUUACAACACUUGAAUGCCAAAGCUGGAAGGAAUUCCUGGCAGGUGGAGAAGACACCUUGUGCCUGGAGAGUGCUGGAAAAGCUGGGUUUACAUUUUUGGUGUGUUGGGGGACACUGUGGUGACAUUUCUGGGUGAGAUUUAAUGGACUCAGGCUGAACCCUGGGAGCUGGUAGAGUAGCAGGAUAAAGAAAUGCCAGCUAUUCCUCAGUCUGGCUGCAUCCCACCUCUGAAUGCUUCAAAGGCUUUGACCCAGCUGUUAACUCAGGAGUGGACACUGGUCCAUGUGGCUCAUCCAUCCUCCUGCCUAGCUGGGUGCCCAGCAGGGUCUGUGCUGAGGGCACUGUGUGGCUGUUGAUGGCAGAGAUGCUGUGCCUGUCCUUGAGCAAGCUCCUGGUGCCAUCCAUCUCCCUCCAAAGGCUGGAUACCAGCAGAGCUGAAAAGCCUCACCUGCAGCAGUAUCACCCCCAGGAGAUGAUGAGCUUCAGCCAGGCUACCUCCAUGUGGGACAGGAGACAGCAGAGCCCUCCCAGAGCCAUUCCCCAUCCCAUGGGAUGCUGCUGAUUCUCAUCCAACUUUCUGUGUCAGGCAGCACUGGGGCAAUUUCUCCUGGAUUAAUUUGGGGACUGUGUGAUUGGGUUUUUGCCUGAUUUCCUCAGGGAUGUCCCAGGUGUGGGAUGGUCCCUGGAUCAAGUGGAUUCUGUGCCAUCCUAGGGCUGAACGGGUUAAUUUUAGUGCUUCCCUCCCCAGCUCGCUGCGGACUCUGGCUGGGACAGAACAUCUGUCUGUUGCUAUGGCUGCAGUACACUUGAAGGGGAUGACUGGAUAAUUAUUGCAAACAUCCAUCGUGCCUGGUGUGCUCCCGGACCCUCCCUGCCCCAGCCAGGGCAGCGGCCGCUGCUCGGGCCCAACUUCCCUCGCAGGGACCCUGCCGAGGAGCGGUGAGUUGGCAUCACCUUUUCAUUUGCAUAAUUAAUGUGGCCGAGGCUGCAGGGCUCCUGGGAAAUCCGACGCAGAGCAGCAGAGAUGAAAUGGCACGGAGGGCUCCAGCCUUCCCCAGGCUCGUUAGAGCUCGGCUCGGCGCUGCCGCCCCACUUUGGAGCUACCGGGGAGUGGUUCUUCCAUCGCCGCUCAUUUACCACCCACUUGGAGCCGAACAGAUUGCUCUGGGCUCAUCCUGCCGUGCCUCCUCCAGGCACAGGAUCCCACCUGGCUGCUGCUGCCGAGCAGGACCCUGCCAGCUCAGCACAAACCGGGCUGCAGACCCCUGGGGCUGUCACACCAUCAGGGGCUUGGGGAGCAGCAGGGUCCUGGGUCACAGCGUGUGCCCAGGGCUCUCCCUGAUGCUCCCCUAGGCUGGCUGCUGCUGGCACUGCUGCCUGUGUUCCCUGCCUGCACACCCCUGCCUCUGUUCCCUGCUUGUGCUCCCUGCCUGGGCUUCUCCCCGGCUCUCCCUGCCUGUGCUGUGCUGCCUGCAGCUCCGUGACCUGCUGGGUUCAGCUGUGCCCACCCUGCAGCACCUGGGCACUGCCCUGUGUGUGGCUGUGGUGCCAGAGCUGCAGCCCCAGCCUCCAGCAGAGCCUGCUGCCAGUUGUUCCCCGGUGAUCCAGGCAGGAUCCCUGGCCUCUGGUGGAGCCCAUUGCCACUCAGUACCUGUGAUCCACCUGGGAUCCCUGGCCUUGCCUUGCAUGUGUUGGAACAUGGCAUGGCCCAGCCCCACUUCUCCCAGUAACUCCUUCCUCUGCUCCUAGGAGUCAAAUACCCGUGUCCCUUUUGUUCCUGGGGUUGCUGCUGUUUUUCUGCCUGCUGGCAUUUAACCCUGCCCAAGAUCUCACACCAGGGGUGCUCAAAAAUCCAGACCUUGCCCUGUGGAUUGUUCCUGUUUCAGCAAGUCCCACCUCUGAAUUAACAGAGCAAAAGAUAAUGCAGAAGUUCCCCUUCUGAGCAGCCACUGCUGUUCUGUUUAACUGAGAACCUCAAUGCAACCAUUGUACAUUUUUUUUCUGUUUAUCAACACGUGGUGGGUAAGAAGCCCAAGUGGAGCUGGGACCAGGAUGAGGGCAGACCUCCACAGGCACUGGUCAGCAAACAGCCCCACAGCUGGGACCCUCUGCCACGCUCACUUUCACUCUGCAGGGAUCCAGUGCUUUGGAUCUGCAGAGCAGCUGUCAACCACUCAUUGGUGUGGAGCAUUCCCAGAGGAUCCAUAGUUAAGGUAGAGAAGAUGGAGCCAGAUCAUGGGAGCAUGGAUAGGUCGGUGUCCUCAUCCUUCCAAGCAGAGGGGUUUCCCCGGAGAGUCGCUGCCGGAGAUUCACCCACCCACGUGGCGUCGGAGCUGAAGCGGCAGCACCGCGUGUGCGGGCGCGUCCCGGUGCGGAGCACGACCGACCCGCCACGGGACGCUGCCUGUAGGAGGAAAACGUGGCAGCGCUGCUCCUGACUCAUUGCACAGGCAGCAAUCCUGCGACAGCGAUGCCGGGCUUGCCCAGCACCAAAAAGUGACAGCAUGCUCCACCCACCCCGGCUGCGGGAGCAGGAGCCUUCUCCGCAUGCCCGCGGUCUGGAGGAGCCGCUAUCCCGGGCACAUCUCCCCGUCCCGCUCGGUGACACCCCAAAUCCCAUCCCGCUGCCUCGCCCGCCGCCCCCGCGCUCCCCCUGCUCUGCCUCUCCCUCCCCUCGCCUGCCCAGGGCUCCGUUCGCCCCACGGAGCUCUGGGAUGGGGAGGAAGGGGAGAAAGGCUGCUCAGAGGCUGAGGCCCAGCCCUCCUAGAUUUGCAUAUUUUUUACUGGCUCCCAAACAACACAUUUCUCCGGGGAAACGAAUGCGUCGCCUGCGGUCCCCGAGGGUGCUGUGUGCUGGGACAGCAGCCGCUCUGCGUGGAGGGGCCGCGGUCCCGGCACCCACCGCGAUCUGCUCCACACGCCCGCACUCCUCUGCUGCCGCAGGAAAAGCAUUUUCCUUGGUGGUUUCGAAAUUCACGGGCUUUAAUGCUGCUGCCCUGGGACUCGG